CGAAACUCAAUGAGAAGAUUGUGAGUGUAAUCAAUGACGCUGCUUCUGGUUGGGGUGUUGAGUGUAUUCGAUAUGAAAUAAUGGAUGUAACACCUCCACCUAGCGUAUUGACGGCUAUGAAAAAGCAA